AGGUGUGGCAAGAUGGCAGAAGAACUCCUGUCCCUAAAGUGGAAUAACCACCAGGCCCAUUUUGUGGAUAUCCUUACAUUCCUGCGGGAACAGGAAAUCUUUGUGGAUGCCACUUUGGCCUGUGGUGGAAAGCUAUAUGCAGCACAUAAGUUUGUUCUCAGUACCUGUAGUGACUAUUUUAAACAGAUGUUUACUAAGAACCCUAGUAAACAUCCAAUAGUGUUUAUGAAAGAUGUGACAUCCCGUGAUCUCGAAGCUCUUUUGGACUUCAUGUACAAUGGUGAAGUGAAUGUUCCUCAGUCUAGUCUAGGAUCUCUUAUUAAAACUGCAGAAGGACUACAAAUAAAAGGUUUAGCAGUGCCUGAUGACCCUCCUGUUUCUAAAAGAGAACGGGAACGUGAUAGAGAGAAAAAAGAUAGUAAAACGCAACAUGAACACCACAGUCCCCCAGCUAAGAGAGCGAGACCUAGAGAAAGAUCGCCUCCACACUCCACUCCCUCCCAACCUCCAGCGUCCCUCCCACAAUCCUCGUAUACUUCGACAACACCUACAGUGCCCAGAUCUCGAUCCCCCCAGCCCCCUGCCCCUUCAGCUGGUGCUUCUCAAAUUGGUAUACCCCCUGUGGAAGCAACUCUAGAUGAGGACAGUAGAACAAGUGUACAGAGUGGUGUCAGUGGACUCAGUGAACAAAAUUCGAGCACAACACCUAGUCUAAGUUCUAAACAAGGCAGCAGUCAACCCGUGGGUAAUACGGGAGACAAUGCGUCUCAGUUAGACCAGUUGCCACCAAGUCAUAGUGGAGAAGAGCCCUCACCUGGGCCAUCUGGAAUCCACAAACCCCAACAGUCAAAAGAAGAGCCAGAAAUGGAGAUCAAGCAAGAAGAUGUGGUGGACCUAGGAGAAGAGGAUGAAGGGGACUGGGGUGUUGAAGGGGAUGGGGGAGGGGGUGACUCCUCAGUUGGGUCUGAAAACCAUCCCAACUUCCCCGAAGUAAUGCUACCCCAUACAGAUGGAUCCAUGCCUCCCUCUGGAGAUCCAGCAAUGCGGCUGGCCUCUGUCUUUGCUGCUGGAGGUGCAGGUCUGGGCGGAAUAGGGCCCGUAGGAGGGAUGAGCGAGGCAGAACGUUUGGCGUGGGCUCGCAGUCUGGGAAGCGGGCAGACAUGGAUCUGCCCAGUGUGUCACAAACAGUUUGGCAUGCGUUACUACUAUGAGCGCCACCUAAAAUGUCACCAGGCACAGAAGGACCACCAAUGCCCCUACUGUCCGUUCCGUGCCUCUUAUAAAUGGAACUUGAAGUCGCAUGUUCGUAACAAGCACCGUGAUAAGCCACCUCCACCCUAAUGGAAGCAGGAGUGUCUUGAAGACCUACCAAAUUUUGCAUUCAAGGCCAUGACGGGAUCCCACACACUGUUAGAGAUGUUGAUAGUUAUCUUUAACCCUUUGACUGCUGCAGUUAAAAAUUUGUAAUGAAAUUGCCAUUUUACAAGCAUUAUCUACAGAUUGCUUGAUUAAGCUCUGUGUGGGCAGUUAGCCGUUCAGAUUGUCUUUUCCUUAUGUACACAUUAGGACAGGAUGCUGUCUCACUGAGAACCAUAUCUCUGAUGGCUUUCUUUUUUAUAUAAGUGUAACUAGUAUACAAAUAUACUGUGAGCAAAGAUUAAAGAAGAAAAUACAGGUUUUACAUGUUUUGAUAUUUUAUUAUUUUUUCUUAAUCCAUAAUAUAUGAUAUUUGCUACAUUCUCUUACAACAGGUCAGCUCUUAUAUUUUAUUUUCAUAUGAGUAAAAGUUCAAACAAAUUGCUUAAUGGCAAUUUAUUUGCACAGGUGGUGAAAGGGGAAUAUUAUUUACUUGUAGAAGAGUUAGGCCAAAGAGGUAGGAUAACUUGCACUUUUUUUUAGAUAACAGAAGUUAAAUUAUGACCUAGUUUUCUCACACAAGUUCACAAGUGUGUCUGUUGUCAUAGCAUAUUAGAGUGUGUAUGUCCAUAUGCAUUAGGAAAACAAGAUAUUUGAAGAAGUUAUGAUUGGGUAUUUUUUUGUUUUCUUAAAAGUUUAUUUUUGUUCAUAGAGUUAGUGAAUGGAAAUUGAAUAAUCCUUGGUGAGGAAAGCUGGGAAAGAAAAUGGAAACACUAAUUCUGAUUUUUUCAUUGAAAAAAAAAAAGAAGAAAAACACAAGCAGCCAAAGGGUUAUUAUACAUUAGUCAUAGAAAUGGAAAUUAGGGUGGUGGGGAGCUAUCAUGGUAAUGGUGAUGGUUUUGACGUGAGUGGUGACAGGCUACAAGGGCUGGUUUCUCUCAUUACAGGGCUUGCUGCCCCUUCACCUGCGUGAGUACCGUGUGGGCAUCCCUGACUCUCAGUACCGCUGCUGCUGGUGUGGCCGGGGACAGCUUGGACGUAAGAAGGGAGAUUAGGGGAGGCGCGAACCAGAUGUUUAUGGUUGAGGGUCUUGAAGUGCUGCCGUGCCCCCUGUGUGGCAGGCUUCUACACACACGUGCAAGGUACAGAAGCCAUCUUGAAUAUUGUCGGCGAGCAGCUAACCCCCAGUUCACCUGCCACGUCUGCCACAA
rnacentral:misc_RNA from 1 species